UGGUUUGGACAUCGAUGAAGAACGCAGCGAAAUGCGAUAAGUAAUGUGAAUUGCAGAAUUCAGUGAAUCAUCGAAUCUUUGAACGCACAUUGCGCCCUCUGGUAUUCCGGGGGGCAUGCCCGUUCGAGCGUCAUUACACCUCUCAAGCCUCGCUUGGUAUUGGAGAUGGUGGGAUCUAUGGAUUCUGCCGCUCUUGAAUUGAUCGGCCUGGUCGUACAGCGACAUCUCGGUGACGUACGUUAAAAACACAUCACUGUCAAGUCCUGAAUGAUUGCAGACUGCCGUUAAGCCUCUUUAUUCAAAGGUUGACCUCGAAUCGGGUAGGGAUACCCGCUGA
rnacentral:misc_RNA from 1 species